UACGUAGGGUGCAAGCGUUAAUCGGAAUUACUGGGCGUAAAGCGUGCGCAGGCGGCUUUGCAAGACAGAUGUGAAAUCCCCGGGCUUAACCUGGGAACUGCAUUUGUGACUGCAUGGCUAGAGUGCGGCAGAGGGGGAUGGAAUUCCGCGUGUAGCAGUGAAAUGCGUAGAGAUCGGGAGGAAGGCCGGUGGCGAAGGCGGCAUCCUGGACCGACAUUGACGCUGAGGAGCGAAAGCUAGGGGAGCAAACGGGG
rnacentral:rRNA from 1 species